AAUAACUCAUUUGUCUGAAAAACAAGAGACACUAGUAAAUUCUCUAGCCCAGGGUCCAGUUCCGAGUUCCAUCCUCACUUCCAGGCAGCCUGAAGCCAGCCCUUCCUGCUCCUUCCCCCGCCUCGAACAGCUUCUCUUUUCACCAGGACGACGGGAGGACCCCUGAGGGACCCCUGCCUCCAUCCCUCGGGGCCGCUGCAACGGAGCCCCUGGCAAUAUCGGUCUAGGUGUGAGUGUCCCAGUGCAGAGCCCCCUGGGGCCUCCCUCCGGCCAGCCCUCCGCUCCUGGCCGUCAACCCCCAUGCAGCAGAGCCCCUCUUCGAUACCACAUUUUAUGAGCAGACGCAUCUGUGGGUCGUUUCUCCCAUGAUGUCGGCACCUACUCUUCUCCCAGAUUGGAUGAACAUGGAACCACACUCUGUCUUCCUCUCCCUGCCUGGACUUACUCGCCACAUUUAAGCCUUUAUUCAUUUGGAAGUUAUACUGGAGGGUGUAACAGUUUCCUAGGGCUACUCUAACAAAGGACUGUAAACCAGGUGGCUUAAAACAAUACGUACUGUCUUGCCUUUCUGGAUGAGCCCAAAAAUCAAGGCGUGGGCAGCGCUGGUUCCUCCAGGAGAUCCUGAGCGAGAAACCUUCCUGUGUCUCAUCUUGGCUUCUGGCGAUGCUUGCCUCUCCUUGGCUGCUAGCUGCACCACUCUGAUGUCUUUGGAGGCCUUCUCUGUCUCUGUGUCCUCCCCUCUUCUUAUGAAAACAUCAGAUACUGGAUUCAGGAUACAGACUCCGUGAGAUCUUUAAUUACAUCCGCCAAGACCUUAUUAUUAUUACUUUUUAACAUUUGUCUAUUCACUUUUGGCUGCAUUGGGCCUCAGCUGUGGCAUGCAGGAUCUUUACUGCGGCACACAAGAUUUUUCUCUGGGAGCUUCUUGUUAAAGAAGAUAAGUGAAGUUACGUUACACACGCGUGGGUCUGCCCCUGGGCUGCUGGUACCUGCGUGGCGUGGUGCUGUGAUGACCACAGCUUCGGGGGAUGUCCUUGAGCAGUGGACAUCAGCUCACUGAGGCGCUCAGCUGACUUCUCUGGCUUUUACGCAUGCCUUCCGCACAGAGUCCAAACACAGCCUAAAACCUGGAAGCCAGUCACACUGUAGCUUAAGGUCUUGUUCCAAGUGCCUGUGAAACCUGCACCCCAGGAAGCCCCAGACUGUGUCUGGAAUGAAAGGAAGCAGGUCUGGGGCUGAGGAACUGGGGGCCCUGGGUCCCCAGGAGGGAUGGCUCAGCAAAGCAGCAACUGUACACUAUGGCUGUGUGUCGGGCACGGCAGGUCCCGAAAACCUAUGUCUGUCUUUGAUUCAAACCACCGCUCCCAGUG
ensembl:lncRNA